GGAUCAUUGGGGUUCAUUUUAGUGGCUGCAGUACAUGAGUAGUUGUAUUAAAGUUUUUCAGGAGCAUUUCAGGAGGAAGGGCUUUCCAGGCAAAGCAAAGGACGUGUGCAAAGAUACAGAGGCAUGGAAGAACUUCAUGUGUUCAGGAUACGCUGUUGGCCAUUCUGUGACCAGGCGAGAGGGGCUUGGGGAGUAUAAUUG
rnacentral:lncRNA from 1 species